rnacentral:rRNA from 1 species
GAUGAACGCUGGCGGCGUGCCUAAUACAUGCAAGUCGAGCGAACAGACGAGGAGCUUGCUCCUCUGACGUUAGCGGCGGACGGGUGAGUAACACGUGGAUAACCUACCUAUAAGACUGGGAUAACUUCGGGAAACCGGAGCUAAUACCGGAUAAUAUAUUGAACCGCAUGGUUCAAUAGUGAAAGACGGUUUUGCUGUCUCUUAUAGAUGGAUCCGCGCCGCAUUAGCUGGUUGGUAAGGUAACGGGUUACCAAGGCAACGAUGCGUAGCAGACCUGAGAGGGGGGUCGGCCACACUGGAACUGGAACACGGUCCAGACUCCUAAGGGAGGCAGCAGAAGGGAAUCUUCCGCAAUAGGCGGAAGCCUGACGGAGCAACGCCACGUGAGUGAUGAAGGUCUUCGGAGCGUAAAACUCUGUUAUGAGGGAAGAACAAAUGUGUAAGUAACUAUGCACGUCUUGACGGUAACUAAUCAGAAAGCCACGGCUAACUACGUG